UACGUAGGGGGCAAGCGUUGUCCGGAAUCAUUGGGCGUAAAGCGCGUGUAGGCGGCUUGGUAAGUCCGCUCUGAAAGCCCGGGGCUCAACCCCGGGAGGCGGGUGGAUACUGUCAAGCUCGAGUCCGGAAGAGGCGAGUGGAAUUCCUGGUGUAGCGGUGAAAUGCGCAGAUAUCAGGAGGAACACCAAUGGCGAAGGCAGCUCGCUGGGACGUGA
rnacentral:rRNA from 1 species